CUUGGUAUGUCUGUGAGGUCAGAAACACACCUGCCUUGGCUAGUGCUGGCCAUCCACACCAGGGCUGUAACCCUGCUGCAGCAGGGCUGGCUGCGGAGGAGCCAGGUCCCUGCCACUGCCACCUCCUACACUACAGUGCUCACUGAGGCAGAGGGCUGAAGCCUCCCAUCACAGCACCAAAGCUGCAAUCUCCCUGGUUUAUAUAGCACUGUAAGCACCACUGCUAACCCCAUAUUAACUUUGGAAUCCUAGCUGAGUAAAAUCAUAGAAUCACAGAAUAGUUUGGGUUAGAAGCGACCUUCAAAGCUCAUCUACUCCAACACUCCUGCAAUGAGCAGGGACAUCUUCAACUAGAUCACGCUGCCCAGAACCGCAUCCAGCCUGGCCUUGAAUGUCUCCAUGGAUGAAGCAUCCACCGCCUCUCUGGGAAACCUGUGCCAGUGCUUCACCACCCUCAUUGUGGAACAGCGUUUGACUGAGAGGGACUGAAUACCCAUCCUCUGCUCAGCACUGGCACCAGUAAGUGGAAUGAUGAAGUUCAAACACCCAUCUUGAGACAAUACAAUUUGGAGGUUUGCCUCAAGCAGAUGAACAUCUCGCCGUUGGUAUGGCCUUUCAGCCAGUGGUAUAUCAAGGUCAGAUGAUGCCAGGGAAUUUAAUAAAAAACAUAAAGUAUUUCUAAA